GAAUAUUAUGGUAUUGUAUUAAAUGAAGACCUUCGAAUUCAUGGUAUUUGAGUUGGGAAAAGUGAGAUGUUAAUCCUAAGUUAAGAUUUUGGGGUAAUUAAAGGUUUUGAGCCCUAGUCUUAAGAAAAGAGAAUUUAUAAUAUAAGAGUCCAUUUGUGAAUGGAAUUGACUAAUUUUCUGGAUAUAUGACCCUUCGGUUAUGGCUGAAUUGAUUUUUCAAUAAAAUUUCAAUUUUGCCCUUGUGGGCCCGAGGUCACUUUUUAAGGUCAUUUUUGGGUUUCGAAUAUAAGUAUAUCAAUAUGGGUGUUCUUAGAUUCGUAUUCUAACCUAGAUCGUAUAUUUGAUAGACUUCGAUCGUUCAGAGGCUCUACACAAAGGGAAGGCAUUGGUUUGAUCAUUCGUGUCACCCGCUCGGCAUUGAGAGUUCAUUGUUGGUCCUACAUCCCGACCUCAGAAGUGAAUCCCCAGGCUACUUGUUAGAGUUCCCAGGGUGAGCUACAUUGAUGGAUCCGCAGCCCGGAGACACUUCCUUUACAUAUCCGUCUUUUUUUAUUCUUGAGACAGUAUCCUUAGUUUGAGACAUGUAUUAUUCUAUCAGACUUGUAUCUAUUAUUGGUGGCUCUUGUACGACGUUCAGACUAGGUUUUGGGUGUGAUGGAUUAAGUACUUCCGCA